GCCCGGUUAGCUCAAUCGGUAGAGCGUGAGACUCUUAAUCUCAAGGUUGCGGGUAAGUUACUGGCACAUCCUGUUUAAAAAAUAAUUCUGUAAAAAGUACUAAACCUACCUCUUAGGUUCGACCCCCGCAUUGGGCU